GGGGAUGUGGCUCAGUGGUAGAGCGUCCGCUUUGCAUCGUGUAACGUGCGGAAGGCCCAGGUUUCGAUCACCUGCUUCUCCA